UUGAGGGUGGGCGGAGUGAAAAUAUUUUGUUAAGUUAUUUAAUGCAGAGAUAAUCUAAAACAAACAUACCUGACUUAGUUAAUGUGAAUUUUCAUUGACAUCAGAACAGGAUGUUUUAUCAGAUUCAGAUCAUUUCUAGAGAUGAUUUCAUACACAGAGUAUCUCAAUGCAUUCAUACGGCACGCUCAAACACGCUCGCUCUCUCUGAUUCAUCCAGGACACAAACACAUCAGCUGACAUCUGUCAUCCCCAUCAAUCACAGUUAAUGGAUUCAACAGAAGAUCUCUCUGUUCAGAAGAAGAGCGACAGACAGGACUGGAGGCUUUUACUUCAGACUGACUCCACACUUUUACUGGGUGUCUUACAGUGAGGAGAACUCAAACUCGAGAUGCAACAACAACAUGAAAAGAGCUAAGAUACAAAGCUUUACAGAAUCAAAGUGUUGAGAUUUAUCAACUUCAUCAUGCACAAGUAUUCUGAAAUAACAGAAAGAAAUGUCCACAAUCUUACCAUAAACUAAAGAGUAUAUUAUAAUACACUUCAGUAUAUUACUGUCAAGAGAUU